AUAGGCAAUUAUACAUGUAAAGCUAAGAAUCUUUAUGGUGAAGAUAUAAAGAAGAUCAUUGUUCAAGUUGUUGGAGAAGUCACUUUCAUCUCGGAACCGAACGAUGUCAUCGCAAAAAAGGGGGAAUCGUUUAAAUUGAAAUGCGAAGCUGAAGGUGACAAAGACAGUUCCUUUAGGGCCACAAUCAAAUACAAGUGGAAGUACAAUGAUAAAGAUAUUGAACUCAAUGAUACCAUUGUUUGGUCUGAUAACGCUCAUUCCUUAGUUUUCCUCAAUGCGCAGGUUCGUCAGAGUGGAACGUAUACAU